AAUCCAGUCGCACAAUUGGGCGUGCAACGGGCUCUUAACCCGUGUGGAUGUGGGUUCGAGUCCCACCUGGAUUAC
rnacentral:tRNA from 1 species